rnacentral:lncRNA from 1 species
CUGGCUAUCCAGGACCAGUGGGGCCAAAAGGAGACAGAGGCGAACCAGGCUAUGUCCUGGGAGGAGUGGAGGUGAUUCCCAGGCGGAACGGGCAACCUGGCCCUCCUGGACAGAAAGGGCAGCCAGGGGUUCCUGGCGUAACAGGACCACCAGGUUUACCAGGGCCACAGGGGCCACCGGGGAUGUCCAUCAAGGGCGAACCAGGGGAUUCAGGUAUCAGGGGUCCUCGCGGGAGGAAUGGCCUCAAGGGUGACAAAGGAGGCGUGGGAGAGCCGGUGAGUUAUCUGCUGAUGGCCAGUCACUAAGGGAGAGCCACAGGCCGCUGCCAGGGAUGGGAAAGUGCCGUUGACCUUGGCACGCCAGCUUCCGAGCUGUCU